UCAAAUGCAGUUAUGAUACUAAUAAUGGAUAUCUUCUCUUAUGAGUUUCAUCCUGUUAGUCUAGAAUGGAAGUUGAGGUUAGUUGUUUUCUAUCCCCUCCUUGAUUGUUUCUUUUGUAUGUUGGUGACUUUGUUUCUUUUCUUUUUUAUUUUUUAAAAUAUGAGUAUGACCAUAACUGUGCGAGUCAGAAAUGAAAUUCUGCUAAAAAUCCUCUACUUUUCUGCCGAGGGCUUGUUUACUUACUCAUUUCUGAUAAUUAACAAAACUCUUUAGAUAGGAAAAAUAUUGAAAGCGUAAAGUUUUAGGGUGCAAGAAUAGCCUUCCCAGCUUUGUUGGAUCUUGAUGUUGGCGCCUAUCAUGCUGGCUUAUAUCUACCACAAACUACUGCUUUCAUGGUUUUUAAUUGAUCGUUCCAACUUGGAUCUAUUUUGGAAGGGAAAGAUGAGUUAGGACAUAUGGGCAAUUAAUUUUAAAAGAAAAGAACAAAUCUGGUAUUUAAGACCAAGUGGAAUAAAUCAAAACAAAGUUUAAUAGUCCAGGGUGCUAUGGACAUUGCAGGAAAUAAGGCCUUCUAAUAUCAAAAGAAGAAGAGAUCUUUUGCUGUAUGAUAGGAGAGUAAACCAGUGGAGGUGGAGUUUCUUUCAACUGUGAGAUCCAUCUCAUAGGAUAUCCAAUCUCGGUUAAAUUUCAAGGUAAGCUUUCCAGCUCGUAUUGCUCUUGAAAGUAACCAACAUGAACUUCAACCCCCAUUGAUAGGAUUCCAAGAGAUUGAUCAACAAGUUGGAGGACUGUAAAUAUUGUUUAAACAGUACAAGGAUAGGAAACAAAGGAAUAUGUUGGAAGAAGGUAGAUAAAACAAAAACUGAAGAACAGAAUAUACUGAAGAAGAAAGAUAAAGAGUACAGAGGAAGGAAGAACCGAACCAGGAAAAGUAAACAACAUGCGCUAUGCUCAGAAACCAUGACAAAAUCCAACUUCAAGUCACUAUUCAUUUCAAUUCUAAUCAACUACUCCAGCGCAUGUCCUUACAUUACAUAUAAAUAAUAGAAACAAAACUCAAAAUGAAACUAAACAAACGAGGAAAAUUGGAAACUACUACCUUCCUACAUAUCUAUCUCCUACCAGAAGAAAAUAAAAUAAGAUAAAUAGAAGAUUGCAUUAUCAUUCAGCCUCUACCAAGCCUUUGGACCAAAAAUCUGGGUUGGGUCACUUGCAUCUUGGCUUGGGUCUCUAAAGGGGGUCAUUUUGGUCCUACCAUGCUAAAGCAACUACAUCAAUUGUCCUCUGAAAAGCAAGGAUCGAGAUCUCGGUUUUGGUUAGGCUUCAUGAUGCAGAAUUGAAGACAUAUUCAAGGAGGAAGAAGAGAGGGGUCGAUUGUGGCUAGUAGAGGUCGACCAGGUCUAGUCUUUAGGUCCACGGUUUGGGCUAUGAUGGGGUUAUUUAGUUUCUAAUUUCAGUACCUAAAUUAGUUUCUAAUUUCAGUAUUUCUAUUUCCUAGUUUCUAUAUCUAGAAUUAGUAACUAGAGGACUUGUUUUUAUUUGGUUUCCUACUUCAGUUUUGGAAACUAAAGUUGGUUCCUAUUAUUAUAAACCCCCAAUCACUAUUAUCAAUAGAGGAGGGCUCUCACACUAUAGCCCACGAUUUUAUGAAUAAGAAAGUUAUGCUGCUGUUUUGCUCUUUUGAGUUUGCUUUGUGUAUGAUCAAAGUGGUGGACUGGUGUUUGAUCCUGUGACUCUUUGUGGCGUGAAGUCCAAGAGGUCUCUUCAAGUAUUCUUCUUCUUCUUUUCAAGGUUCUUUGCAAGGUUCUAUAGGCCAGGUAUAGAUCUGAUUAUAUUUUUUAUUUCUGGUUGUUAGCAACCCAGAUUCUCUACUACCGCCCCUGUACUGUUCUGAGGAUCCAGCCAUCUGAUGGCUUUAAUAUUUGGGUCGAUUGUUGCCCUGAUAUUUGGGUGGAUUGAUCCCAGUUUUACAGUAAUCGGACCAUGGAAUUAGCUGCUAGGCUAAAUCUCCUUAUCCUAGCCGAUUGUGUUUAGAUGAAGUUUCUGCCCAGAAUUUUGGUUCGAUUGCUCUGAUGUUGGUGCAUUAUUUAGGUCACUGUUUUCUUAUGAUUCUGUCCCUGAUGUUGGUGUAUUAAGUCCCUGAUUUCCUGAUUAUUAUUCAGCUACUAAAUUGCUGAAAUAUUGAGAUCAAUAGGGCUGAACUUUGCUUAUUGAUUUCAGUCUUAUUUGUAUUUUGUUAUUGAGUUACUUUGGUAAUUGUUUGGGUGUUCUUUGCGAGUAUCCUGCUGUUUGAAACUUGGUUACUUUGUUGAUUUUAGUUCUACAUUAAGUGGUAUCAAAGCAUGGCAGAGGACAACCCUAUUAUUGAGUUGAAGAACUCCAUGGUUUCUAUGAUGGAGAUGUUACAGGCUAUGAGGACUGAACAACAAACUAUGAGGGCUGAACAACAAACUCUUGAUGCAAGGAUGUUGGCUGUGGGAUCCAACAACAACAACCUACCCAUGGUACUCAUGUACCGCCUGAAGUGGAAGCUUCUAUGAACUCAGUUGCUUAGUUGGCUAACAAGAGGCCUAACCCUAAUCUGAGAGGACCACAGAGAAUCCCUGUAGUGCAACCUACCUUUGAAGAAUAUAUGAGGGGUUAUUUUGACACUAAACGACCUAUACACUAGAGAUACUCAGGAUAUUCACAGAAGGUCAAGCUUGACCUCAAGGAGUAUGAUGGUAGACAUGUCCCCCAGUUGUUCUAUGAUUGGGCAGCUGCAUUGAAUGACUACUUUGACUAUUAUGAUCCGCCUGAGGAACAGAAGAUUAAAUUAGCUCGUGCUAAGCUAGUUGAGGCUGCUUGUGAUUGGUGGAGAACCUAUGAGCAAGAGCUUGAAGACCGUGGUAGAGAACCUACUACUUGGGAGGAGAUGAGCAAGAACUAUUUGACAAGUACUUGCCACGUAACUUUAGAGCAUGCAUACAAGACCACCUGAAUUCUCUUCGUCAGGGGACUAUGACUGUUGUAGAGUAUAUGAACAGAUUUGAUGCACUUUAUUCUCACACAGGCAUUAGGGAGAAUGAGAGGCAAUUACUUUCUCAGUUUCGACUGGGAUUGCGAGCUGAAAUCAAUAGGGGAAUUGGUGGUGUUGAUGUGUACUCAGUGAGAGAUUGCUUUGACAAGGCCCUAUGAGCGGAGGAGCUCAUAACACAAGUAGGUAAGAGGUUUGGUUAUCAAACUGGAGAGGUCAAGAAGAUUUUUUCAGCCACUAAAACUAACACUUCAGCACCCCCAAGGGUCAUAGCUCCUCCACGGGCUGAUAAUAAAGGAAAUGCACCUAUGAUUGGUAACAACAAGGUACAAUGUUUUCAUUGCCAAGAGGUAAGACAUUUUGCCAAGUCUUGCCCACAUAAGCAGAGCAAUGGCUGAAAUUGAAGAACCUAAUGGGGAGGAAUGGAGGAUGAAUUAGUUCUUUACCCAUACCCCUUUGAUGAUGAAGACGAUAGUGACUAUGACCCAAAAGAUACGAAUGAUGAUGGCACUUAUGGCAUAUUGUUACUCACAUUUUUGUAGCUGAAACCAAAGGGGAGGAUUGGCGAUGCAUUUGUAUUUUUUAUAUCCGGGGAGCAUACUUGUCAAGUGAUAAUUGAUGGUGGUAGUUGUGUCAAUGUCACUUCAGAAGCCUUUGUGAAGAAAGCCGGGCUGAAGCCUGAACCACAUCCUCAACCUUAUAAGGGAAGAAAAAUUUGUGUUCAUUUGUGUGAAAGGGUGUUCUUACAACCUUUUAUCUGGUAAAUGUUCCCUCUGAAGUGGAGCGACGAAAGGCUCUAAGGGAUAACCAAAAAGACAUUGAUGUUGAGAAGAAAGUAGUUGCUAUGCCUACAAAAGAGUUACUAGCUAUUCCCCACAAGCAAUUCAUACACACAAGUCACGAAACAGGAAUGGUCUUGGUUCUUGUUACUUGGGAAGUCACUCCCUAACCUGAGGUAACGUAUAACACACCUAUCAAAGAGCUUCAUCUGAUUUUUCUGAUUUGGUGCCUGAUGAUCUUCCAGAUGAGUUGCCUUCCAUGCGUGACAUACAACAUGCUAUUGACUUGGUACCCGGUUCGGUUUUGCCCAACCUACCCACCUACAGACUAAGUCCUACUAAACAUGCCUAGCUGAAACGGCAAGUGGAUGGACUAUUACAAAAAGGAUUCAUUGAGGAGAGUCUGAGUCCUUGUGCAAUGCCAACUUUGCUCACGCCGAAAAAGGAUGGUUCUUGGCGUAUGUGUGUUGACAGUUGAGCUAUCAACAAGAUAAUAGUAUACAACAUGCUAUUGACUUGGUACCCGGUUCGGUUUUGCCCAACCUACCCACCUACAGACUAAGUCCUACUAAACAUGCCUAGCUGAAAUGGCAAGUGGAUGGACUAUUACAAAAAGGAUUCAUUGAGGAGAGUCUGAGUCCUUGUGCAAUGCCAACUUUGCUCACGCCGAAAAAGGAUGGUUCUUGGCGUAUGUGUGUUGACAGUUGAGCUAUCAACAAGAUAAUAGUCAAGUAUAGGUUUCCUAUUCCACGACUUGAUGACAUGUUGGAUAUGCUGUCUGGGGCUAAGGUCUUCUUCAAAUUGGAUCUGAGGAUUGGCUACCAUCAGAUUCAAAUCCAUUAUGGGGAUGAAUGGAAGACAGCUUUCAAGACCAAGGAGGGCUUUUACUAUUGGAAAGUCAUGCCUUUCGGUUUGACGAAUGCACCUAGCACCUUCAUGCGAGUUAUGACACAGGUAUUUCGUCAUUUUAUUGGUCUUUUUUUGGUUGUUUAUUUUGACAAUAUGUUGAUUUACAGCAAAAACCAAGAAGAGCACAUGGACCACUUAAGACAAGUCUUGAGAGUUCUCCGCGCGAAGAAGCUUUAUGUAAAUCUCAAGAAUUGCUCCUUUAUGCUGCCCUAAGGUUGUAUUCCUUGGAUUCAUAGUGUCCUCUAAAGGUGUUGAAGCUGAUCCGGAGAAGUUCAAGAGCAUCACUGAUUGGCCUUUACCAAGGACACUGACAAAACGUAACUUCUAUGGUUUGGCUUCCUUCUACAGGAGAUUCAUUCGGAACUUCAGUGCAGUUAUAGCCCCCAUUACUGAGUGUAUGAAGGCUAGUAAAGGGAAGUUUGAAUGGACAGUUGCAGCGACCAAAGCCUUCGCUCUUGUUAAGAGAAAGAUGACAGAAGCACCUAUUUUAUGCCUAUCUGACUUUGAUAGAGUGUUUGAAGUAGCUACAGAUGUGUCACAUGUUGGGCUAGGAGGAGUGUUGAUGCAAGGAGGACACCCCAUCGCUUUCUAUAGCGAGAAAUUGAAUGAAGCCAAGAAGCACCAUUCGACUUAUGAUCUGGAAUUAUAUGCAGUCGUCCAAGUGCUACGCCAUUGGAGGAGUUUAUUUUAUAUACUGAUCAUGAGGCAUUGAAGCACCUUCAUUCUUAGAAGUCGAUUAGCCACAGGCAUGCCAAAUGGGUAGCUUACUUGCAGGAGUUCAUAUUUGCCAUGAAGUAUAAGGCGGGAAAAGAGAACACAGUGGCCGAUGCACUUAGCCGGAAAGUGCUCACACUUAAUACAUUUUCAGUACAUGUUAUUAGCAUUGAUCAGAUACGAGGAGAGUACGCAUCUAAUCCUGAUUUCAGCACUGUCUUUGCAGAGUUGCAACGGGGUGGACAGAACCUAAAGUACUCCAUUCAUGAUGGGUACUUAUUCUUUGAUACACGGCUAUGCAUUCCAACCUCUUCCCUACGUCAUCACAUCAUACGGGAGUUACAUGGAGGAGGAUUGGGAGGACAUUUUGGGAAGGAUAAGACUCUUGCACAGGUGACGGAUCGAUACUACUGGCCAUGCAUUGCAAAGGAUGUCGAUCAUAUGAUCAAGAGAUGCCGUGUAUGUCAGCUAGCAAAAGGGGGAAGCAAAACACAGGUUUAUACUCUCCACUACCUGUUCCUUAUGCACUGUGGCUUGAUGUUAGCAUGGACUUUGUCCUUGGACUACCCCGUACUAGACAGUGAUAUGAUUCCAUAAUGGUGGUUGUGGAUCGUUUCUCUAAGAUGGCCCAUUUUAUACCAUUUCGCAAAACUUUUAAUGCUAUUAGGUUGCAAAGCUAUUCUUCAAAGAAGUAGUGCAAUUACAUGGGUUGCCCACUAGCAUUGUGUCUGACCGUGAUGUCAAGUUUAUGAGUUACUUCUGGAAGACAUUGUGGCUGAAAACAAAUACAAAGUUGGAUUUUUCAACCGCAUUUCAUCCACAAACUAACGGACAGACAGAGGUUGUAAAUAGUAGCUUGGGAAAUCCGUUGAGAUGUUUGGUUCGAGAUUAUGAGAAGACAUGGCCAUCCAUCCUUGACAUUGCUGAGUUUGCUUACAACUAUUCAGUUUGUACUCCUUUUGAGAUCUUGCUUGGAGUUUAGCCUAAGCUACCUAUUGAUCUUGUGUCACUCCCACCCCAAGCUCGAGUUAGCCUUGAGGCUGAUGAGUUUUUGUGUCAUAUUACUGAGGUACAUGCCACCGUCCGACGACGUAUUGCCUUAAACAAUGAGGUGUAUGAGGCUUCUGUUGAUCGUUAUCGAUGUUAUGUGGAGUUCAAACCCGGGGAUAUGGUGAUGAUACGUGUCAAUCCUGAACGGUUCCAAACUGGUGUUAACACUAAACUCCACCCACGGAAGAUGGGUCCCUAUAAGGUGCUGAAAUGUAUAGGGCCUACUGCUUAUGUGCUUGAGUUGCCUGAUGAUAUGACCACCAUAAGCAAUGUGUUUAAUGUGGCUGACCUUUACCUCUAUGUUGGGCACCAUUCGGAUGAUGGAGACAUGGAGCAAAUGUUGAGGCUGCCCCAACUGAAGCCGCCUACCACUGAUGUUAUUGAAGAUGUCUUGGAUGAUAAUUUCAAGACUACUCGUUGUGGUACUAGCUAUCAUACGUUCCUUGUCAAGUGGAAGGGCUGUCCCCGUAGUGACUGUACUUGGAUCCAUGCAGAUAACUUCAAGAGACUUGAUCCCGACUUGUAUGAGCACUAUAUGUCCAUCGCCCAUUUGUUUCCGACAAAUGUUUUAAAGCCGGGUAGAGUUGAUGUAGAAUUGAAGACAUAUUCAAGGAGGAAGAAGAGAGGGGUCGACUGUGGCUAGUAGAGGUCCACCAGGUCUAGUCUUUAGGCCCACAGUUUGGGCUAUGAUGGGGUUAUUUAGUUUCUAAUUUCAGUACCUAAAUUAGUUUCUUCAGUAUUUCUUAUUUCCUAGUUUCUAUUUCUAGAAUUAGUAACUAAAGGACUUGUUUUUAUUUAGUUUCCUAUUUCAGUUUUGGAAACUAAAGUUGGUUCCUAUUAUUGUAAACCCCCCAUCACUAUUAUAAAUAGAGGAGGGCUCUCACACUAUUGCCCACGAUUUUAUGAAUAAGAAAGCUAUGCUGCUGUUUUGCUCU